UUUCACUGGUAAAUAGUAGUUUUCAUAGUAAUUGGUGUAUUUUCAAUGCUGAAUUUCUGCAUAUUACAGUAUCAAUACAUGAUACAUUGCGAUCUUUGUGCCCUGCUGAUCCUCUGAUUGCUGUAGCCUGGUUAUUUUUGUGCAGUUAUACUGCUAGAGAGAGAGAGAUAUUAGUGCUGAUAAAACAUCUGAACAGCGUGCUCUGCUUGUGGAAUCUAGAAGGUGAGAGGUCUUUCUAUUUUAAUCCUUUGAUGCAUAAUGAUUAUAUAGUUGAGUCCGUUUGUGAAAUUGCCAUGCUUGGCACAAAAGACUGUAGUACUGAUAUUUAAACACUUCUAGAUGUUGUGCUAGGUAUUAUCUUUUUGACAAGAUUCUCUUUAAGUUAAUUGUUCAUAUCAAUCAUUAUAUAAUUCAUUUUACUACAUUUAGCUUCUAAUUAGAUGAAGAGUUAGGUCUCUCAACU
rnacentral:lncRNA from 1 species